rnacentral:rRNA from 1 species
UACGAAGGGGGCUAGCGUUGCUCGGAAUCACUGGGCGUAAAGGGUGCGCAGGCGGGUCUUUAAGUCCGAGGUGAAAUCCUGGAGCUCAACUCCAGAACUGCCUUUGAUACUGAGGAUCUUGAGUUCGGGAGAGGUGAGUGGAACUGCGAGUGUAGAGGUGAAAUUCGUAGAUAUUCGCAAGAACACCAGUGGCGAAGGCGGCUCACUGGCCCGAUACUGACGCUGAGGCACGAAAGCGUGGGGAGCAAACAGG